UACGUAGGGUGCGAGCGUUAAUCGGAAUUACUGGGCGUAAAGUGUGCGCAGGCGGCCGAGCAAGUCGAGUGUGAAAGCCCCCGGGCUUAACUUGGGAAUUGCGCUCGAAACUACUUGGCUAGAGUGUGGCAGAGGAAGGUGGAAUUCCACGUGUAGCAGUGAAAUGCGUAGAGAUGUGGAGGAACACCGAUGGCGAAGGCAGCCCCCUGGGUCAAGAUUGACGCUCAUGCACGAAAGCGUGGGGAGCAAACAGG
rnacentral:rRNA from 1 species